CGGUGUUCAACUGGCGUGUCCGCGGGACGUCCUGCCGGUGGGCUUAGCCCGCAAGGGCGGCCCAACUUCAAAUCCCAUCGCGGUGCUCUUCACUGAGUGUCGAGGUGGGCCGGCACGUUUACUUUGAACAAAUUAGAGUGCUUAAAGCAGGCUAAAACUUCGCCUGAAUACUGUGUGCAUGGAAUAAUGGAAUAGGACCUCGGUUCUAUUUUGUUGGUUUUCGGAACCCCGAGGUAAUGAUUAAUAGGAACGGAUGGGGGCAUUCGUAUUGCGACGUUAGAGGUGAAAUUCUUGGAUCGUCGCAAGACGGACAGAAGCGAAAGCAUUUGCCAAAAACGCUUUCAUUGAUCAAGAACGAAAGUUAGAGGUUCGAAGGCGAUCAGAUACCGCCCUAGUUCUAACCAUAAACGAUGCCAGCUAGCGAUCCGUCGACGUUCCUCCGAUGACUCGACGGGCAGCUUCCGGGAAACCAAAGCUUUUGGGUUCCGGGGGAAGUAUGGUUGCAAAGCUGAAACUUAAAGGAAUUGACGGAAGGGCACCACCAGGAGUGGAGCCUGCGGCUUAAUUUGACUCAACACGGGAAACCUCACCAGGCCCGGACACCGGAAGGAUUGACAGAUUGAGAGCUCUUUCUUGAUUCGGUGGGUGGGUGGUGCAUGGCCGUUCUUAGUUGGUGGAGCGAUUUGUCUGGUUAAUUCCGAUAACGAACGAGACUCUAGCCUGCUAACUAGGCGUAUUUUCGACAUCUCAAAGGUCCGUCGUCCCGGCCCUCGGGUCGUGGGCGUGCGCGAUUUUUACUGUCGGCGUACUAUCAAUUCUUCUUAGAGGGACAGGUGGCUUCUAGCCGCACGAGAUUGAGCAAUAACAGGUCUGUGAUG
rnacentral:rRNA from 1 species